rnacentral:rRNA from 1 species
CCUGGCUCAGAAUGAACGCUGGCGGCGUGCUUAACACAUGCAAGUCGAACGAGAAAGUUUCCUUCGGGAAAUGAGUAGAGUGGCGCACGGGUGAGUAACACGUGGGUAAUCUACCCUUCAAUUUGGGAUAACAUCGCGAAAGUGAUGCUAAUACCGGAUGACAUCCAGAUGACUGCGGUUGUUUGGAUCAAAGAUGGCCUCUCCAUGGAAGCUAUUGUUGAGGGAUGAGCCUGCGUACCAUUAGCUAGUUGGUAGGGUAAAGGCCUACCAAGGCGACGAUGGUUAGCUGGUCUGAGAGGAUGAUCAGCCACACUGGAACUGACACACGGUCCAGACUCCUACGGGAGGCAGCAGUGAGGAAUUUUGCGCAAUGGGGGCAACCCUGACGCAGCAACGCCGCGUGAGUGAUGAAGGCCUUUGGGUCGUAAAACUCUGUCAGCAGGGAAGAAGUUAUGGGAUGUUAAUACCAUUUCAUAUUGACGGUACCUGCAAAGGAAGCACCGGCUAACUCCGUGCCAGCAGCCGCGGUAAUACGGGGGGUGCAAGCGUUAUUCGGAAUUAUUGGGCGUAAAGGGCGCGUAGGCGGCCUGCCAGGUCAGAUGUGAAAGCCCGGGGCUUAACUCCGGAAGUGCAUUUGAAACCGGUAGGCUUGAGUAUGGGAGAGGAAAGUGGAAUUCCUGGUGUAGAGGUGAAAUUCGUAGAUAUCAGGAGGAACACCAGUGGCGAAGGCGACUUUCUGGACCAAUACUGACGCUGAGGCGCGAAGGCGUGGGUAGCAAACAGGAUUAGAUACCCUGGUAGUCCACGCAGUAAACGUUGUUCACUAGGUGUAGCGGGUAUUGACCCCUGCUGUGCCGCAGCUAACGCAUUAAGUGAACCGCCUGGGAAGUA